rnacentral:rRNA from 1 species
UACAGAGGUCUCAAGCGUUGUUCGGAUUCAUUGGGCGUAAAGGGUGCGUAGGCGGCGCGGUAAGUCGGGUGUGAAAUCUUGGAGCUUAACUCCGAAACUGCAUUCGAUACUGCCGUGCUUGAGGACUGGAGAGGAGACUGGAAUUUACGGUGUAGCGGUGAAAUGCGUAGAUAUCGUAAGGAAGACCAGGUGGCGAAGGCGGGGUCUCUGGACAGUUCCU